rnacentral:rRNA from 1 species
ACAACGGAGAGUUUGAUCCUGGCUCAGGAUGAACGCUGGCGGCGUGCUUAACACAUGCAAGUCGAACGAGCCUUCGGGCUAGUGGCGGACGGGUGAGUAACGCGUGAGAAUCUGCCCUCAGGAGGGGGAUAACGGCUGGAAACGGCCGCUAAUACCCCAUAUGCCGCGAGGUGAAAUGAGAAAUCGCCUGAGGAUGAGCUCGCGUCUGAUUAGCUAGUUGGUGGGGUAAGAGCCUACCAAGGCAUCGAUCAGUAGCUGGUCUGAGAGGAUGAUCAGCCACACUGGGACUGAGACACGGCCCAGACUCCUACGGGAGGCAGCAGUGGGGAAUUUUCCGCAAUGGGCGCAAGCCUGACGGAGCAACGCCGCGUGAGGGAUGAAGGCCUCUGGGCUGUAAACCUCUUUUCUCAAGGAAGAAGAACUGACGGUACUUGAGGAAUAAGCCACGGCUAAUUCCGUGCCAGCAGCCGCGGUAAUACGGGAGUGGCAAGCGUUAUCCGGAAUUAUUGGGCGUAAAGCGUCCGCAGGCGGUCUUGAAAGUCUGUUGUUAAAGCGUGGAGCUCAACUCCAUUUCAGCAAUGGAAACUAGAAGACUAGAGUGUGGUAGGGGCAGAGGGAAUUCCCGGUGUAGCGGUGAAAUGCGUAGAUAUCGGGAAGAACACCAGUGGCGAAGGCGCUCUGCUGGGCCAUAACUGACGCUCAUGGACGAAAGCCAGGGGAGCGAAAGGGAUUAGAUACCCCUGUAGUCCUGGCCGUAAACGAUGAACACUAGGUGUCGGGGGAAUCGACCCCCUCGGUGUCGUAGCCAACGCGUUAAGUGUUCCGCCUGGGGAGUACGCACGCAAGUGUGAAACUCAAAGGAAUUGACGGGGGCCCGCACAAGCGGUGGAGUAUGUGGUUUAAUUCGAUGCAACGCGAAGAACCUUACCAGGGUUUGACAUCCUGCGAAUCUUUUGGAAACAGAAGAGUGCCUUCGGGAGCGCAGAGACAGGUGGUGCAUGGCUGUCGUCAGCUCGUGUCGUGAGAUGUUGGGUUAAGUCCCGCAACGAGCGCAACCCACGUCUUUAGUUGCCAGCAUUGAGUUGGGCACUCUAGAGAGACCGCCGGUGAUAAACCGGAGGAAGGUGUGGAUGACGUCAAGUCAUCAUGCCCCUUACAUCCUGGGCUACACACGUACUACAAUGCUACGGACAGAGGGCAGCAAACUCGCGAGAGCUAGCAAAUCCCAUAAACCGUGGCUCAGUUCAGAUCGUAGGCUGCAACUCGCYACGUGAAGGAGGAAUCGCUAGUAAUCGCAGGUCAGCAUACUGCGGUGAAUACGUUCCCGGGCCUUGUACACACCGCCCGUCACACCAUGGAAGUUGGCCAUGCCCGAAGUCGUUACUCCAACCCUUGUGGAGGAGGACGCCGAAGGUGGGGCUGAUGACUGGGGUGAAGUCGUAACAAGGUAGCCGUACCGGAAGGUGCGGCUGGAUCACCUCCUAA